rnacentral:RNase_P_RNA from 1 species
UCGGGAAGGCAGGCCAUCGCACCUAUACAACUAGGUGAGGAAAGUCUGGACUUCACAGGAAAGGAUACCAGUUAACGGCUGGGCAUCGCAAGAUGACGGAAAGUGCAACAGAGACUAUACCAUUAGGUUGAAAAGUUCGAGUUGUAGACUCGAUCGCACUCCGGGCAACCGGGGGCGUUGUAAACCCUAUCCGAAGCAAGGUCAAAUAUGGGGAGCGUAUUUCCGCGCGAUGACCCCUAAGCUGAUCGCUUGAGGGACUUGGUAACAAGUCCCCUAGAGGAAUGAUGGCUCACGACAGAAUCCGGCUUAUCGCCUUCCCGAUUUU